AACGAACGCUGGCGGCAGGCUUAACACAUGCAAGUCGAACGCAUCCUUCGGGGUGAGUGGCAGACGGGUGAGUAACGCGUGGGAACGUGCCCUUCAGUUCGGGAUAACCCAGGGAAACUUGGGCUAAUACCGGAUACGUGCGAGAGCAGAAAGAUUUAUCGCUGAAGGAUCGGCCCGCGUCUGAUUAGCUAGUUGGUGGGGUAAUGGCCCACCAAGGCGACGAUCAGUAGCUGGUCUGAGAGGAUGAUCAGCCACAUUGGGACUGAGACACGGGCCCAACUCCUACCGGAGGGAGCAGUGGGGAAUAUUGGACAAUUGGCGCAAGCCUGAUCCAGCCAUGCCGCGUGAGUGAUGAAGGCCUUAGGGUUGUAAAGCUCUUUCGUCCGGGACGAUAAUGACGGUACCGGAAGAAGAAGCCCCGGCUAACUUCGUGCCAGCCGCCGCAGUAACAC
rnacentral:rRNA from 1 species